rnacentral:rRNA from 1 species
AACGUAGGAGACAAGCGUUAUCCGGAGUUACUGGGCGUAAAGGGCGUGUAGGCGGUGAGCUAAGUCUGUUGUGAAAGCGCCCGGCUAAACCGGGCGAGGUCAAUGGAGACUGGCUGGCUAGAGGACGGUAGAGGCGAGUGGAAUUCCGGGUGUAGUGGUGAAAUGCGUAGAUAUCCGGAGGAACACCAGUGGCGAAGGCGACUCGCUGGGCCGUACCUGACGCUGAGACGCGACAGCAUGGGGAGCGAACGGG